AGAUUAGAUGGAUGGAAAAUUGAUUGUAAGAAACGGGUGACUGGGAAAUUGCUUGAUAUGUAUUAUACACAUGAGAUUUCCAAGAAGUCGUUCCGAUCAGUUAAGGAAGUAAUGAAUUUUAUAUUAUAUGAAGUUGAUCCAAGGAAAAGGUAGAAGGAAAAUAAAUGCAAUCCAAAUGAAUAUCCAUUGGUACAUAGACAAUAUUUCUUUGGCAAUUUUGAAGGAAAACAAAUGAAUGCUGAUGGGAAACCUUCAAACCUCUAUUUAGAAAAAGUAAUUAUUUUAGUUUCUUCUAAAGAUGAAAUAAGAAUUAAGAGGCUUGAUGAGUAGAUGAGCCUAGUUUAAUAACUCUACUUGUGAAUGCCAAG